rnacentral:misc_RNA from 1 species
GAUGAAGAACGCAGCGAAAUGCGAUACGUAAUGUGAAUUGCAGAAUUCAGUGAAUCAUCGAGUCUUUGAACGCACAUUGCGCCCUCUGGUAUUCCGGAGGGCAUGCCUGUCCGAGCGUCAUUGCUGCCCUCAAGCACGGCUUGUGUGUUGGGCCCCGUCCUCCUUCCGGGGGACGGGUCCGAAAGGCAGCGGCGGCACCGCGUCCGGUCCUCAAGCGUAUGGGGCUUUGUCACUCGCUUUGUAGGCCUGGCCGGCGCUUGCCGAUCAACCAAACUUUUUAUCAGGUUGACCUCGGAUCAGGUAGGGAUACCCGCUGAACUUAAGCAUAUCAAUAAGCGGAGGA